AGGCCACAAGUCCUCAAGAAAUGAGCAGUCUCCAAGAAAUUGCUACCGGAGCUUGUCCUUUGGUUAUUCCUGGGUGACACCAUGGCGGCCAAGAGACGCUGAUCAUAUAAGCCAUUAAUAUUACCAUCAAAGCCACUUAUGUCGUAAUAGUUGUUAUAAUAAUUUAGACACGCUUCUUCAGGUCCCACCAGUGCAUGAUGAGGAUCUCCGA
rnacentral:misc_RNA from 1 species